rnacentral:rRNA from 1 species
ACGAACGCUGGCGGCGUGCUUAACACAUGCAAGUCGAACGGAAAGGCCCUGCUUUUGUGGGGUGCUCGAGUGGCGAACGGGUGAGUAACACGUGAGUAACCUGCCCUUGACUUUGGGAUAACUUCAGGAAACUGGGGCUAAUACCGGAUAGGAGCUCCUGCUGCAUGGUGGGGGUUGGAAAGUUUCGGCGGUUGGGGAUGGACUCGCGGGUUAUCAGUCUGUUGGUGGGGUAGUGGCUUACCAAGGCUUUGACGGGUAGCCGGCCUGGGAAGGGGACCGGGCACAUUGGGACUGAGGUACGGACCAGACUCCUACGGGAGGCAGCGGGGGGGAAUAUUGCACAAUGGGCGGAAGCCUGAUGCAGCAACGCCGCGUGCGGGAUGACGGCCUUCGGGUUGUAAACCGCUUUCGCCUGUGACGAAGCGUGAGUGACGGUAAUGGGUAAAGAAGCACCGGCUAACUACGUG